rnacentral:tRNA from 9 species
CGGGGUGUAGCGCAGCCUGGUAGCGCAUCUGCUUUGGGAGCAGAGGGUCGCAGGUUCGAAUCCUGCCGCCCCGACCA